rnacentral:lncRNA from 1 species
CAGGUUGGGGGCUAUUACUAAUAUUCAAAAUAAUCAAGAAUAAACCAAAUAUAUUUCUACUUCCUGCCACAUGUGCUUCCUCUCCAUUAUCUUCUCUCAACUUUCCUUUGCUUGAAGAAAACUAGCUGAAGAAGCAGCUGCCACUCUGGUGAAAAAGGUCUGAGCAUUUCAUCAAAGCAACUCAGACCUCCAAUUCACCUGUAUCAGCAGUUCAGCUACGAAGCUUUUCUGUAUUAUCCUGAGAGACUACUGUCCGACACAGAAACCUGUCUGG